rnacentral:lncRNA from 1 species
GGAAAAGGCCCACUUAACAACUGGGCUACCCACUUGAGUGACCCACUUCACACUACCAUUUUCGACACCUUCGGCUUCUUCUCUUAAGCCCAGCCCAGCUCACCUUUGUUUUUUCAGCUCGAUCUAGUUGAGAGGAUGGUUUUACGUAUAUUAUAUUAUUAUAUUCAUCUGCAUCUUUUCUUAAGCCCAGCACACCUUGUUUUUCAGCUCGAUCUAGUUGAGAGGAUGGUUUUACGUAUAUUAUAUUAUUAUAUUAUUAUAUUCAUCUGAAUCUUGUAAAAAUUGUAACAUUUGACACUCUAAGGAGAAGGCAAUAUCAAACGCUAUUGUUAAUCUAAGUUUGUCCUGUUCUUCAGUGUUGAUAUCGCAAAUUUUCUUACUUCCUUAUGGUUGCAUAAGGAAAUGAUAUAUGAAUGCCAUAGGGUUCUACAAUAGUAAAUCUAAGAGAUUGAUUAACAAAAUAUGCAUAAAAGAGGAUAGGCGUUA